rnacentral:rRNA from 1 species
GGGGCUUUUUGUUUCUGAGUAGGCUCUGCCUCUCACCCUUCAUAUCCAUAAACACCUGUGCACAGUCGGACCCUUGAGUCUUUCGGGACUCCCGGUGUCUUGACGAUCUUAUCAAACAACAAUGUAACCAAUGUAAUCAUUAUUAUAACAUAAUAAAACUUUUAACAACGGAUCUCUUGGCUCUCGCAUCGAUGAAGAACGCAGCGAAAUGCGAUAAGUAAUGUGAAUUGCAGAAUUCAGUGAAUCAUCGAAUCUUUGAACGCACCUUGCACUCUUUGGUAUUCCGAAGAGUAUGCCUGUUUGAGUGUCAUGAAAUCUUCAACCAUUCUGUUGGGUGUUUACGCCUGGCGGUUUGGAUUGGACUUGGGUGUUUGUCGGACAAGCAAUUGUCUGACUCACCUUAAAAGGAUCAGUGGAUCUAUUGUCUUGGACUUUUGCAUUGCAAUUGGUUUGACUUGGCGUAAUAAGUAUUUCGCUAAGGACAGUGCUUCGGUGCUGGCCAUUGCUUUUCAACCGGACUUUGGAAAUCGCUUUCUAACCCUAAUUUUAUUUGACAUCUGGCCUCAAAUCAGGUAGGACUACCCGCUGAACUUAAGCAUAUCAAAAGGC